rnacentral:rRNA from 1 species
CGGGACACGUGGUAUCCUGUCUGAAUAUGGGGGGACCAUCCUCCAAGGCUAAAUACUCCUGACUGACCGAUAGUGAACCAGUACCGUGAGGGAAAGGCGAAAAGAACCCCGGCGAGGGGAGUGAAAAAGAACCUGAAACCGUGUACGUACAAGCAGUGGGAGCACGCUUAGGCGUGUGACUGCGUACCUUUUGUAUAAUGGGUCAGCGACUUAUAUUCUGUAGCAAGGUUAACCGAAUAGGGGAGCCGAAGGGAAACCGAGUCUUAACUGGGCGUUAAGUUGCAGGGUAUAGACCCGAAACCCGGUGAUCUAGCCAUGGGCAGGUUGAAGGUUGGGUAACACUAACUGGAGGACCGAACCGACUAAUGUUGAAAAAUUAGCGGAUGACUUGUGGCUGGGGGUGAAAGGCCAAUCAAACCGGGAGAUAGCUGGUUCUCCCCGAAAGCUAUUUAGGUAGCGCCUCGUGAAUUCAUCUCCGGGGGUAGAGCACUGUUUCGGCAAGGGGGUCAUCCCGACUUACCAACCCGAUGCAAACUGCGAAUACCGGAGAAUGUUAUCACGGGAGACACACGGCGGGUGCUAACGUCCGUCGUGAAGAGGGAAACAACCCAGACCGCCAGCUAAGGUCCCAAAGUCAUGGUUAAGUGGGAAACGAUGUGGGAAGGCCCAGACAGCCAGGAUGUUGGCUUAGAAGCAGCCAUCAUUUAAAGAAAGCGUAAUAGCUCACUGGUCGAGUCGGCCUGCGCGGAAGAUGUAACGGGGCUAAACCAUGCACCGAAGCUGCGGCAGCGACGCUGAUGCGUUGUUGGGUAGGGGAGCGUUCUGUAAGCCUGCGAAGGUGUGCUGUGAGGCAUGCUGGAGGUAUCAGAAGUGCGAAUGCUGACAUAAGUAACGAUAAAGCGGGUGAAAAGCCCGCUCGCCGGAAGACCAAGGGUUCCUGUCCAACGUUAAUCGGGGCAGGGUGAGUCGACCCCUAAGGCGAGGCCGAAAGGCGUAGUCGAUGGGAAACAGGUUAAUAUUCCUGUACUUGGUGUUACUGCGAAGGGGGGACGGAGAAGGCUAUGUUGGCCGGGCGACGGUUGUCCCGGUUUAAGCGUGUAGGCUGGUUUUCCAGGCAAAUCCGGAAAAUCAAGGCUGAGGCGUGAUGACGAGGCACUACGGUGCUGAAGCAACAAAUGCCCUGCUUCCAGGAAAAGCCUCUAAGCAUCAGGUAACAUCAAAUCGUACCCCAAACCGACACAGGUGGUCAGGUAGAGAAUACCAAGGCGCUUGAGAGAACUCGGGUGAAGGAACUAGGCAAAAUGGUGCCGUAACUUCGGGAGAAGGCACGCUGAUAUGUAGGUGAAGUCCCUCGCGGAUGGAGCUGAAAUCAGUCGAAGAUACCAGCUGGCUGCAACUGUUUAUUAAAAACACAGCACUGUGCAAACACGAAAGUGGACGUAUACGGUGUGACGCCUGCCCGGUGCCGGAAGGUUAAUUGAUGGGGUUAGCGCAAGCGAAGCUCUUGAUCGAAGCCCCGGUAAACGGCGGCCGUAACUAUAACGGUCCUAAGGUAGCGAAAUUCCUUGUCGGGUAAGUUCCGACCUGCACGAAUGGCGUAAUGAUGGCCAGGCUGUCUCCACCCGAGACUCAGUGAAAUUGAACUCGCUGUGAAGAUGCAGUGUACCCGCGGCAAGACGGAAAGACCCCGUGAACCUUUACUAUAGCUUGACACUGAACAUUGAGCCUUGAUGUGUAGGAUAGGUGGGAGGCUUUGAAGUGUGGACGCCAGUCUGCAUGGAGCCGACCUUGAAAUACCACCCUUUAAUGUUUGAUGUUC